rnacentral:rRNA from 1 species
GAUGAACGCUAGCGGCAGGCUUAAUACAUGCAAGUCGAACGGGAUUGAGAAGCUUGCUUUUCAUGAGAGUGGCGCACGGGUGCGUAACACGUAUGCAACCUACCUUGUCCAGGGGGAUAGCCCGUUGAAAGACGGAUUAAGACCGCAUAACAUUGAGCUGUGGCAUCACAAAUCAAUCAAAUAUUUAUAGGGACAAGAUGGGCAUGCGCCUGAUUAGGUAGUUGGCGGGGUAAUGGCCCACCAAGCCGACGAUCAGUAGGGGAUCUGAGAGGAUGACCCCCCACACUGGUACUGAGACACGGACCAGACUCCUACGGGAGGCAGCAGUAAGGAAUAUUGGUCAAUGGGCGAAAGCCUGAACCAGCCAUGCCGCGUGCAGGAAGACGGCCCUACGGGUUGUAAACUGCUUUUAUACGGGAAUAACCCCGGUUUCGUGAAACCGGCUGAAUGUACCGUAAGAAUAAGGAUCGGCUAACUCCGUGCCAGCCGCCGCAGUAA